rnacentral:rRNA from 1 species
CAAUAUGAAGGUCAGGCUGAAGACCUUACCCGAUUAGCUGAGAGGUGGUGCAUGGCCGUCGUCAGUUCGUACUGUUAAGCAUCCUGUUAAGUCAGGCAACGAGCGAGACCCACGUCCACAGUUGCCAGCAUACCCUCCGGGGUGAUGGGUACACUGUGGAGACCGCCGCUGCUAAAGCGGAGGAAGGAGUGGGCAACGGUAGGUCAGUAUGCCCCGAAUCUCCCGGGCUACACGCGGGCUACAAUGGUUGGUACAAUGGGCAUCUACCCCGAAAGGGGAAGGAAAUCUCUUAAAGCCAAUCGUAGUUCGGAUUGAGGGCUGCAACUCGCCCUCAUGAAGCUGGAAUCCGUAGUAAUCGCGUUUCAACAGAACGCGGUGAAUACGUCCCUGCUCCUU